CCAAGGAGUCUAACGUGUGCGCGAGUCGCUGGGCUCUUACGAACCCCAGAGGCGAAGCGAAAGCAAAGACCGGACUAGAGCCGGUUCAGGCAUGAUCGCGCCCGUUCAGUCGGGCGCGCGCAAUGCCGGCCUGUGUCAAUAACGGCCCCUUCGGGGGCCGGAGAGGCAGAGCCAGAGCGCACACGUUGGGACCCGAAAGAUGGUGAACUAUGUCUGAGCGGGGCGAAGUCAGGGGAAACCCUGAUGGAGGCCCGAAGCGCAUCUGACGUGCAAAUCGAUCGCCAGACUUGGAUAUAGGGGCGAAAGACUAAUCGAACCAUCUA
rnacentral:rRNA from 1 species